rnacentral:rRNA from 1 species
AGUGAACGCUGGCGGUAGGCCUAACACAUGCAAGUCGAACGGCAGCACAGGAGAGCUUGCUCUCUGGGUGGCGAGUGGCGGACGGGUGAGGAAUACAUCGGAAUCUACUCUGUCAUGGGGGAUAACGUAGGGAAACUUACGCUAAUACCGCAUACGACCUACGGGUGAAAGCAGGGGACCUUCGGGCCUUGCGCGAUUGAAUGAGCCGAUGUCGGAUUAGCUAGUUGGCGGGGUAAAGGCCCACCAAGGCGACGAUCCGUAGCUGGUCUGAGAGGAUGACCAGCCCCGCUGGAACUGAGACACGGUCCAGACUCCUACGGGAGGCAGCAGUGGGGAAUAUUGGACAGUGGGCGCAAGCCUGAUCCAGCCAUACCGCGUGGGUGAAGAAGGCCUUCGGGUUGUAAAGCCCUUUUGUUGGGAAAGAAAUCCAGCUGGCUAAUACCCGGUUGGGAUGACGGUACCCAAAGAAUAAGCACCGGCUAACUUCGUGCCAGCCGCCGCCGUAA